GGGGCUAUAGCUCAGUUGGGAGAGCGCUUGCAUGGCAUGCAAGAGGUCGUCGGUUCAAGCCCGACUAGCUCCACCA
rnacentral:tRNA from 2 species